UGACUACUAAACCUUCUACGUGGACCGCUUUCUCUCUCUGAAUCCUCUCCCGCCUACUGCCUCUCUCUCUCUCAACGUUACAACUACCAGAAUCCGCCAUUUACAGCCACCAGAAUCCUCCUGUUCCUCUCAACCUCUCAUCUGAACUCAUCCUGCUCUUCUUCCAUUGAAGGUUUCUAUUGAAGCUCGAACUCUUGGAGUCGUCAUCCACUCCCUGAUAGCCCAUCGUUCGCUGCUCUCACUUCCUAUCGCCGCCGUUGGUGUUGGUCCGCCCGAUCACUGAGGAUCAACCUGCUACAAAUGAGGAUAUAAUUCAAUGAGACCAGACCACACUUAAAAUUUCAGUAUACGGUCAGUCUAUUGCAGGUCCAAGUUUUCGGUUCUCAGUUUCCGGUUCAACUCUAUGGCCUACCAACUGUUUGGUACUGGUUCUUGGUUUGGGACCUAACCAAGCCAAACUGGAAUGAACUUUAAAUCAGUAGACAGGCCCUUUCAGCCCCGAAGCAUCCCACAUCUUUUUGAAUUCUGAAUUCAUUCCUCAA